GAUGAACGCUAGCGGCAGGCUUAACACAUGCAAGUCGAGGGGUAGAGGUUGCUUGCAACCUUGAGACCGGCGCACGGGUGCGUAACGCGUAUGCAACCUACCUUUUACAGAGGGAUAGCCCAGAGAAAUUUGGAUUAAUACCUCAUAGUAUAUAACCUUCGCAUGUUGGUUAUAUUAAAGUUCCAACGGUAAAAGAUGGGCAUGCGUCCUAUUAGCUAGAUGGUAAGGUAACGGCUUACCAUGGGAACGAUAGGUAGGGGUCCUGAGAGGGAGAUCCCCCACCCUGGUAAUGAGACACGGACCAGACUCCUACGGGAGGCAGCAGUGAGGAAUAUUGGACAAUGGGCGCAAGCCUGAUCCAGCCAUGCCGCGUGCAGGAAGAAGCAUCUAUGGUGUGUAAACUGCUUUUGUACAGGAAGAAACACCCCGACGUGUCGGGGCUUGACGGUACUGUAAGAAUAAGGAUCGGCUAACUCCGUGCCAGCCGCCGCGGUAA
rnacentral:rRNA from 1 species